GACGCUGGCGGCGUGCCUAAUACAUGCAAGUCGAACGGUCUUUCUAUGGAAGCUUGCUUCCACUGAGAAGAUAGUGGCGAACGGGUGAGUAACACGUGGGGUAACCUGCCCAUAAGAGGGGGAUAACAUCCGGAAACGGGUGCUAAUACCGCAUAGUUUUCUUGAUCGCAUGAUCGGGAAAGGAAAGACGGCCUUUGUGCUGUCGCUUAUGGAUGGACCCGCGGCGUAUUAGUUAGUUGGUGAGGUAACGGCUCACCAAGACGAUGAUACGUAGCCGACCUGAGAGGGUGAUCGGCCACAUUGGGACUGAGACACGGCCCAAACUCCUACGGGAGGCAGCAGUAGGGAAUCUUCCGCAAUGGACGAAAGUCUGACGGAGCAACGCCGCGUGAGUGAAGAAAAGGGUUUUCGGAUCGUAAAACUCUGUUGUCAGAGAAGAACAAGUUGGAGAGUAACUGCUCCAGCCUUGACGGUAUCUGACCAGAAAGCCACGGCUAACUACGUGCCAGCCGCGGC
rnacentral:rRNA from 1 species